rnacentral:rRNA from 1 species
GGAGGUCCGAACCCACGAGCGUUGAAAAGCUCGGGGAUGACUUGUGGGUAGCGGUGAAAUUCCAAUCGAGCCCGGAGAUAGCUGGUUCUCCCCGAAAUAGCUUUAGGGCUAGCCUCAAGGUGAGAGAUACGGAGGUAGAGCACUGAAUGUCCUAGGGGGUAUUGCACCUACCGAAGACUAUCAAACUCCGAAUGCCGUCAUCUUAUACUUGGGAGUCAGACUGUGGGUGAUAAGAUUCAUAGUCGAAAGGGCAACAGCCCAGAUCGUCAGCUAAGGUCCCUAAAUGUAAGUUAAGUGGUAAAGGAUGUGGGAUUGCACAGACAACCAGGAUGUUGGCUUAGAAGCAGCCACUCAUUCAAAGAGUGCGUAAUAGCUCACUGGUCGAGUGAUCCUGCGCCGAAGAUUUCCGGGGCUAAAACUUACUACCGAAGCUACGGCAUCAGUAAUGAUGGGUAGGGGAGCUUCCCAUACGGGUUGAAGCAUGACCGUAAGGACAUGUGGACAGUAUGGGAGUGAGAAUGUUGGCAUGAGUAGCGAGAUGUGGGUGAGAAUCCCACAGGCCGUAAACCCAAGGUUUCCAGGGGAAGGUUCGUCCGCCCUGGGUUAGGCGGGACCUAAGCUGAGGCCGAAAGGCGUAGGUGAUGGACAACAGGUUGAUAUUCCUGUACUACCGAUAACCGUUUGAGAGAAGGGAUGACACAGUAGGAUAAGCUAAGCACACUGUUGGUUAUGUGUGCCCAAGCAUUGAGGCAGUCAAAGUAGGCAAAUCCGCUUUGAUAAUGCUGGGAUGUGAUGGGGAGCGAAAUUUAGUAGCGAAGUAGCUGAUUUCACACUGUCAAGAAAAGUCUCUAUCGAGGUUAAAGGUACCCGUACCGCAAACCGACACAGGUGGGUGAGGAGAGUAUCCUAAGGCCA